rnacentral:rRNA from 1 species
CCCCUUACGGGGAAAGAUUUAUCGCCGAAAGAUCGGCCCGCGUCUGAUUAGCUAGUUGGUAGGGUAAUGGCCUACCAAGGCGACGAUCAGUAGCUGGUCUGAGAGGAUGAUCAGCCACAUUGGGACUGAGACACGGCCCAAACUCCUACGGGAGGCAGCAGUGGGGAAUAUUGGACAAUGGGGGCAACCCUGAUCCAGCCAUGCCGCGUGAGUGAUGAAGGCCCUAGGGUUGUAAAGCUCUUUUGUGCGGGAAGAUAAUGACGGUACCGCAAGAAUAAGCCCCGGCUAACUUCGUGCCAGCAGCCGCGGUAAUACGAAGGGGGCUAGCGUUGCUCGGAAUCACUGGGCGUAAAGGGUGCGUAGGCGGGUCUUUAAGUCAGGGGUGAAAUCCUGGAGCUCAACUCCAGAACUGCCUUUGAUACUGAAGAUCUUGAGUUCGGGAGAGGUGAGUGGAACUGCGAGUGUAGAGGUGAAAUUCGUAGAUAUUCGCAAGAACACCA